UGCCCCUUGCUCUGGCUGGUCAAACGGAACCAAGUCCGUCUUCCUCAGAGGUUUUGGGUCCCCUUCACCAGCUACAGCAGGGCUGGGCC
rnacentral:pre_miRNA from 10 species